GUGGAAAUGUAGAUUUCAACCUCCGAAAUAUAAUAUUUCUUUUUAAGUGAUGAAUUUGAUAGGGGAAAAAAAGGCUAUUUUUCUGCCUUGCAAAGGCUCCCAAGUUAAUCAGUAGGAUCCCUUUAAUGGAACUUGGGAGUGUUUGCCAUUGACCAGCAGCGUGUUGGGAUCGACAGCAAAGGACUGAUUGCCUGGAAGAGGAGCAAGUGGAUGAGUGAAGGGAAUUAAUGCAAACUGUUAAUGAAAGGGACAAGCAUUUUCCUCCUUCCCACAGCUCUUCCUCAAAACAUCUCUAGAGACAACUUCCAAAGCAGCAAAAACUGAACCAGCACAACGAAGAAGAGUGAUUUUGUACCAAUCAUUAACGUGCUACAAAAUGUUUAUUGUAAGGAUAUUGAUUCCAAAACAGAUCAUUCCAGUUGUGGAGAAACAUGUGCUUAUCUUUGCUCAGGCUUGGUGAAACAUCAGAAAUAAUUCUAUAGUUGUUACACUGGAAAUUUUGUUACAGUUCUGGUUUUGCUCCUUUAUAAACCAUAUCCAAAGACACAGCAGUUUUCAGCAUAAUUUUUGAAGGAUUAAGUUUUAUCCCGAUCAGAUUUGAAAUAAAACAGAAAGUAACACGACCAAGCGACUCGUCAGGGCUGGCAACUCCAGUGAUGAACCAAGUUUAGAAACUGCUGUUUGAAGAGUCCAGGAAAUUCAAUUUCAAUGGUUUUCAUGGAUAAACAUCCUUUAAACGAGAGACAGAGGAGAUGCUGCCUCCCAAAAUACCUGAAUAGAUCUGAAGCAGAGAGCUGGACCACGGAGCUCAUAUUGGGAUCAUGGAGCCCAAGCUGGCAGAGACAGUGGGAUGGGAAUAUUCUGACAACCUUGGAAGAAAAGACUUGGCUUUUCUGAGGUCAGAUGGAGCUGUUCUGCUCUUUGUGGGUUUGGAUGAUCUAAGGGAGGGUUUUGGAAGAGCAAGGGUUGACCCAUGGGUUCAUUAUCCUUGAUGUGCAUAGAAUCAUAGAAUCAGCUGGGUUGGAAGGGACCUCCGAGAUCAUCAAGUCCAACCCUUGAUCCAACCCCGCUGUGGUUCCCAGCCCAUGGCACUGAUGCCACAUCCAGUCUGUCCUUAAACACCUCCAGGGAUGGAGAAUCCACCACUUCCCUGGGCAGCCCAUUCCAAUGGCUGAGCACCCUCUCUGCAAAGAAAUUCUUCCUAAUAUCCAACCUAAACCUCCCCUGGCACAGCUGCAGACCCAGCCCUCUUGUCUUGCUGAUGGUUGCCUGGGAGAAGAGACCAACCCCCCUGGCUCCCCCCUCCUGUCAGGGAGUUGCAGAGAGUGAGGAGGUCUCCCCUGAGCCUCCUCUUCUCCAGGCUGAACAGCCCCAGCUCCCUCAGCCUCUCCUCACAGCACUUGUGCUCCAGUCCCUUCCCCAGCCUCGUUGCUCUCCUCUGCCCCUGCUCCAGCCCCUCCAUGUCCUUCCUGAGCUGAGGGCCCAGAGCUGGACACAGCACUCCAGGGGUGGCCUCACCAGUGCUGAGUCCAGGGGAAGGAAUGUUCCUGUUGAUGUCAGUGCCAAUUCCUUGGCAGGUUUGUCACCUGUGCUGCCCCCCAGGCACUCGGGGAUGGCCCCAGAGAGCCCCCCAGCCCCAGCCCCCUCAGCUGGCUCCUCCUGCUCCCGUUCCACCCGUGUGUGCCAAGGCCUGGGAGCUGCAGGACAUCAGAUCCCCUAUUUCUGGCUUUCCCCUCUCUCCAUGGACGUGAUCAGAGGCCCAGGAGGUGCUCACAAGUCUCUCGAUUUGAUUUGAUGGGAUUUAUUUUCUGAAUGGUAAUUUGUGUGAGAAGUCCUUUGCCUGUGCCAGAACAAAGCCUUGGCACCACACGCUCCUCCACCGCGUGUGCCCAGAGAGAUCAGGCUCAGAGUGGCUUCCUGGGGAAACCAUGGAGACAACUGAGAGUUCCCAAAUUUGUGUGAGAAGCGUUUUGCCCUCCAGUGCAAUUCAUUCAUUAUUAAAAAUAUGAACUGCAGAAGUUCUGCAUGCGCGGAAAUGUUCCUUUUAA